rnacentral:rRNA from 1 species
AGUACCCCAAGGGAAAGUUGAAAUAUUAUUAAAGAUAAAAUAAAAAAAGGAAAAAACUUUACCUUUUGUAUCAUGGUUUAACCAGAAAAAAAAGGCUGCUUGGCCAUUACCCGAAAUCUAGAGAGCUAACCUCAACCACCUUUAUUGAGAUAAUAAAUUACUGUUACAAGAGUAAAAAAUGAGUUCAGGUUAGAGAUGACAUGUUUAACGCACUAGAUGAUAGCUGGUUUUUUAGGAAAGAAGUUUUAGCUUCUCUCCCUUAUAAAAUGUAUUUACUCUUAUAGAAAUAAAUAUUUUUAAAGUAUCAAAGGAGAGAAAGAAGAAAGGAGAUAAGUUCUUUCUUCAAAAAGGGAACAACCAGAAACGAAGGAAAGGACAACAAACUAAUUUAAAGAUCCUCAUUUUAGUAGGCCUAAAAGCUGCCAUCUUUAUGAAAGCGUUAAAGCUCAUAAAAUUACCUCUAACAAUCUUUGAAAACAUUCCAAACCUCGCUGAAAGUACUAAAAAUAAUAUAUAAUGUUAAAACUAGUAAAUAAAUAACCUUUUAAUUCACCAAAAACUACUUAUAAUCUUACACUUUAAACCAAGGACCACCUAAAACACAAGAAAGGUGAUAAUGAGUAUUUCCCAACCCAGGGGGUAAUAAAAAAGGAAAAAGAGAGAAGAAGGAACUAGGCAAAUAAAACCAGAGGAUGACUGUUUACCAAAAACAUAGCCCCUAGAAUUUAUUAGGGGUCAUGCCUGCCCAGUGGAAAUACACGUUUUCUAAACGGCCGCGGUAUCUUGACCGUGCAAAGGUAGCAUAAUCACUUGUCUCUUAAAUGGGGACCUGUAUGAAUGGCUAAACAUCCUUAAACUGUCUCCUUCUCUCCCCUUUUAAACUUCUAUUCACGUGAAGAAGCGUGAAUGAAAAAGAUAGACGAGAAGACCCUGUCGAGCUUUAGCUAAUGUUAAAUUUUCUUUAUUUCUUUCUAGAAUAAACUACCACUAAUUUUAACUUAAGCUUUGGUUGGGGUAACCAUGGAGAAUAAACAUCCUCCAGUUAAUUUAAGAAGAAAACAAUUCACCUAAAAUAAAAGACCAAGAACCAGUACUCCUGGUAAACGGAAAUAGUUACCGCAGGGAUAACAGCGUUAUCUUCUCUAAGAGCCCAUAUUGACGAGAAGGAUUGCGACCUCGAUGUUGGAUUGGGGCUACCAAAAGGUGCAGAAGCUUUUUAAGGUUGGACUGUUCGUCCAUUAAAUCCCUACAUGAUCUGAGUUCAGACCGACGUAAGUCAGGUCAGCUUCUAUCUUCUAUGUAAUUCCUCUAGUACGAAAGGACCGAGGAAAAGCCUUCAAUAAUUUUCAUUAAAAGGUAAAAAAACUAAAAUAUUUUUAACUUUUUUAUAAUUAACCCACAAACAAAGUAU